GGCAAAGACAGCCCGUUUAGUUGCUUAGGAUCAGGAUGGAAUAAGGAUGGCAGAAUAUCAUGGUGAACAGAUGGGGGGUAAACGUUCAGAGGGUAAUCUGGCAGAAGAAGGAAGUUAAAGGUACAGACCAAGUUCCCCAGUAACCAGCAAGAAGCAGAACUUCCAUUCUUAUGCUGUAACAACAAAGUGGCACUUCAACCAUCUCUCUCCUUCCCCUC
rnacentral:lncRNA from 1 species